rnacentral:rRNA from 1 species
GACGAACGCUGGCGGCGUGCUUAACACAUGCAAGUCGAACGGAAAGGCCCUGCUUUUGUGGGGUGCUCGAGUGGCGAACGGGUGAGUAACACGUGAGUAACCUGCCCUUGACUUUGGGAUAACUUCAGGAAACUGGGGCUAAUACCGGAUAGGAGCUCCUGCUGCAUGGUGGGGGUUGGAAAGUUUCGGCGGUUGGGGAUGGACUCGCGGCUUAUCAGCUUGUUGGUGGGGUAGUGGCUUACCAAGGCUUUGACGGGUAGCCGGCCUGAGAGGGUGACCGGCCACAAUGGGACUGAGAGACGGCCCAGACUCCUACGGGAGGCAACAGUGGGGAAUAUUGCACAAUGGGCGGAAGCCUGAUGCAGCAACGCCGCGUGCGGGAUGACGGCCUUCGGGUUAUAAACCGCUUUCGCCUGUGACGAAGCGUGAGUGACGGUAAUGGGUAAAGAAGCACCGGCUAACUACGUG